rnacentral:rRNA from 1 species
GAUGAACGCUGGCGGCGUGCUUAACACAUGCAAGUCGAACGGUGAAGCCAAGCUUGCUUGGUGGAACAGUGGAGAACGGGUGAGUAACACGUGAGUAACCUGCCCUUGACUCUGGGAUAAGCGUUGGAAACGACGUCUAAUACCGGAUUUGACCUUCGGACGCAUGUUCUGUUGGUGGAAAGAUUUUUUGGUCAAGGAUGGACUCACGGCCUAUCAGCUUGUUGGUGAGGUAAUGGAUCACCAAGGCGACGACGGGUAGCCGGCCUGCGAGGGUGACCGGCCACACUGGGACCAAGACACGGCCCAGACUCCUACGGGAGGCAGCAGUGGGGAAUAUUGCACAAUGGGCGCAAGCCUGAUGCAGCAACGCCGCGUGAGGGACUACGGCCUUCGGGUUGUAAACCUCUUUUAGUAGGGAAGAAGCGAAAGUGACGGUACCCGCAGAAAAAGCACCGGCUAACUACGUGCCAGCCGCCGCCGUAA